rnacentral:tRNA from 1 species
GCGCCCGUAGCUCAGCUGGAUAGAGCGCCGGACUUCGAAUCCGUAGGCCGCAGGUUCGAAUCCUGCCGGGCGCGCUU